CUGAGAUCGUGGUCUCGUCUGGUUUCUGAUCGGCACGAGAUUUUGUGGGAUGCUUCGUGACGUCUCGGACUAGCUUUUCACCGGAGGGAUUUGAUAGUUAACGGACGUUUCUGGACUGUUUCAGACGCAAGGAGAAUUUCUCCUGGUUGUAUUUGUUGUUAGAAUCAGCUUGAUAAGGUAUUGUGUAGUGUGGAAUCAUGGCGAUGAGGAGGAGG